AAUUAAACUUAUGAGUGAUCAUUACUUAUACUUUUAUGUUUUGUAAAAACCUGCUAUCAUUACUAAACAACAUUAGUUGUUUGUACUAUUUAGCUGAAAGAUUCAUUGCACUAAUCAGGUUUAGCAGAGAUAACUUGGUAUGUUUACUUUCAUAAGAAAGGGGAGGGGGCUAAUUCAAAAACCUGCCUGGUAACGUGCGUCCACUCCAAAGGGCUCUACACCUGGCGGGACGAGCAGCACAGGCAUCGGCAGCAGACGGUACCCUGACCAGGAAGCAACCUUACUCAAAGUGGAAUGGUUAGUAUGUAAAAUAACUAUUGUAGCCUAGUUAUUUUUGUGCGAAUUUUUAAUACCCAAAAGCUUGCAGAUAAUUUGUUGACGCAGCUUUUUUUCUGUCUAAUGUUACUGUUUGAACCUGUGCAUGGUGCUAAUACAUGCUUAUUGCUAACACUAGCUACUCAAAAAAGUGUCAGCUGAAUGUUAAAGUAAGCUUAGUGUUAACAGUCUGAGGACGGCUCACAUACCGGCGAGUAAGCUCGACUAUAUCAUUUAUAUAACCAUCAUUUUACGCAAUAGAAAAGCGAUUCAACCGCUCUCGGGGCAAAGGAGUGUAGCAGCCGCUGUGGAGGUGUUUACGUUGUGGACACCGCGAGGUGCUUGCAGCGCAUUGAUCCACUCGACCCGUCCUUGGCCGCUCUCUUUUUCCCUCUCACUCACUCUCACACACACGCUUGUUUACAUGCCGGUUUUCUCUGUAACACAGGCGUUGUUUCGGUUCUAUUACCUUAUUGUAUUUAACAGUGACAUUGUUGAGCUGAGUCGUGAGCUAAACGUUUUCUUGUUUUAUAUUUUUACAGAUCCUUGUGGUGUGAGGAUGCUGUGGAAGUGUGUUCAUGGAGUUCAGCAGGAUUGUGGGCAAGAACCUCAAGCAGGAAUUCUAUGAGAGCAUCGACCGGCACAGUCCUCGUCUCCUCAAGUUAUUUUGAUCCAAGAGAGGGAAUGUUGGACAGUUGUUGACACAGAUUUCACAACAGACCAAUACUACAGAGCCAACUGCGAUCUGGACACAGGUGCUCAGAGGGCUUCCUAUCGUCCUUGGGGACUACCCCACAAACUUCUUCAAAGCAGGCAUUGAAUUCGAUGAUGAUUCUUUUCGUGACCUUGACAUUGGGCUACUUCUCAUUGAGCGUGAAGGUGCUGGGCUCACAUCUUCCCAGCAUCUCAGUCCAGCCUCGUUGAAAAUCAUCAUUGAGGGAUAAAUCGUGAUGGACAAGAUUCAAGAUCUGCCAAAAGCAAGGUGCAUUCUGUUUGGACUCAUGUAUGCACUCCAUCUUAACAACCCCAAGACUAUGAAGCUCACAUUUCAGGUCAUCCAACAGGUAUUGCUCUUGUUAGGCCACACUGACCUAAAGCCGAAGCUACAGACUUUGAAAAAUCAGCUCGCAAUGUAAAGAGAUGUCAAGUCUACUGUAAGAAGCUGUUGACUACAAUUUUUUUGUUUUUUUUGCCACACCAGUAAAACACUUUCUUACCUGUGGGGUAAACCUUUUUAUUUUCUGUAAAACAAGCGGACGAACAGACACACGUAAAACGCAGACACACACCCACACACACAACACAGACACGAACAACACCCACACAUACACAACACCCACACAUAAUUGUUUCAGUGAUUUGAAAUUACCUCUUUCAGAUUAAUCAUUUUAGGUUGGACUUGUUGAUGUUGACCUGUUUUGCCAUUUUUCUUAAAAAUAAAAUGCAUUGGAGCAUUUAGAGGUGUUUCUUUUUUUCCAUCCAAUUUAAUUGAAACAAUGUUUUAUACCAUAUUUAAAAAAAAUCAAAAGGUAAUUAAAUUAGAGGAAAAUACAGUAAUUGUAAUAAAUGAUGAGUAGCAAUAACAAGUCAUAAUAGCUAGUUUUAUCUAAUGAUUUUGAGUACACACUACUAAUAAAUAUAAAUACUAAACUUAA